rnacentral:rRNA from 1 species
AAAUCUUUUGUUAACUCAAUUGGUUUCUACUUUGGUAUUGGAGGUCUUUGCAGCUUCACACCUGUUCCUCUUUGUUCAUUAGCUGGAUCUCAGUGUUAUGCUUGGUUCCACUGGGCGUGAUAA